CUAUCUUAAGAAUUUUUCUCAGAAAAUUAGAGUUAUUCCUCUACUUUCUGGCCCAUGUAUUUUAGUGCACAGUGGAAUGAGGGUCAUUUUUUUUUUUUAAGAUGACAUCACAGUCACCUUCUGGAAUGUUGCCGAUCCUCCUGGAGCGGGUGUGCCGGUCGGUCGCAUACUCUAGCCCUAAGAUCAACACACAAAUGUACCUGCUGCUCAGAAUCCUCACCACCAUCAGGUGGCUCACACUCAGAUUCACCUAGCCAUCUUACUCCUGAAAACUUGGUCCAAGUCAUCAUCAUCUCUUAUAUGGGUGACUUCAAAGGCCUUCUCACUGGAUCUCUCUGCUUCUCCUUUGGACUAAUAAUUUCUUCUCAGCCCAGGAGCCAGUGUUAUCCUUCUAGAAUGAGAAUAUCAAGCGUAUCAGGAAGUACAAGAGUCCCAGAGAAGACAGGGAAUAAAUACACCACAUCUUCCUGCAUCCUGUUUCCCUCAGUGGAGAUAAAUAGAAAGCCUUGUGACAUUAAAAUAAAAUAAAUUGUAGAACAUCGU